UGAGGACCACAAAUAAGCUGGCACCUAACUAGACUGAAAGUUGUGCAUUAUCACUGCAAGAAUCUGCUUUUCUUAGUUCUCCAGCUACCGGUUGAAGUCUUCGGAGUUAUUCUUGUGCUUUUUCAGCACUUUAAAGUUCUGGUGUAUAUCUUUUCCCGCAAUGUCAUUGGCUUCAAGAAGCCUGGCAAAGGUACUAAACCUUUAUCAUCAAUCUUCAGCAUCUUGCCUGCGACCUCUUCCAACAAUUCAAGAGUCAGGACUUGGGAGAAAAUGAGAGCGGACUCUCUCUGGCAAUUGUAAUACACAGCAGCCACUGGAGAACCGAGAUUGUAGAGCUCUGCAAAGUCUCUGGUGUUGAAGUUCUGACGCCAGCCUGGUGCAUAGACAAUCUGCCUUCCCAGCUGCUGAAACAGCACAAAUACGAUGCGAUGGAUGCCAAGAGAUGGCCGUGGGUUCUCGUAGCACACCACCUCUUGCCCUGCACUCAGAGAUAGACCGCCCGGUUUAAGUUCUUUUGUUCUUGUAACAGCCUAUCCGCAACAAUGAAACUACGUCGAUACUGCGUGCAAAACAGCGACAGUACGUGGGGUCAAUGUGCAGUUAUCCCUAGGAUGAACAAGGAUAAAAGACUGCAGGUCUAAUGUGUGCAAUUAUCCCUAGGGUGAACAAGCAUAAAAGACUAUACUAUUUUUUGGACUCUAAAGAAAUAAGAGGUGGAGAAAAAUAUAAUGGCCUACCAGUGAAGGUAUUCCCUUAAGGUAGGGUCACUUGGACUAGGAGCAUCUGGGUCUACCAUCACCUGCAAACAUAUAUGUACACAUAUAUAAACAUCUCAUGCUUGUGCACGCAACUCAUGCCCCAAACGAGGAAAGGGAAGGCAUCACCCUUCCUCCUUUGUGUUUGUGUGCAAGACCAAGAACUGGCUCAGACCAAUGCCAGAAAUGGUGGAGUCACGUCCUGUUGAGACAAAUUUGGAUAGGUUCCUCAUCAGCUUGCACAGUUUUAGGUUCGAGAUCACUGAGGAAACCCGAUGUUACAGUGGCUUUGUUUGUCUGGUUGGUUCGCCACUAGCGCGCAUCGCCCUGGCCUUGCUGAACCACAGGAUUGAGUAGGAUAGCAACCCCCAAUAAUUUCAUGGAGCUAGAGAGGAGUUGGUGUUGGAAUUAUUGGUCACGUAUCACACUUUAUGGUCGGAAAGAAUGGAAGAAGACAUGCCCGUCUUCAAACCGAAACAAGGUUGCUUGAAGGGAAAGCAUUGCCACUUUAAGGAAGGAAACUGUGGGAGCUAUCUCGAAAGAAUCCUUUCCUUCAACGGCCAGAGAAGAAAGCAGAGAACGAAAGGGGUUGGAAACAUUCACGUGUUAGGAUGACAAGUUCCCACUUGAGUUUUUAUUUGAAGAAUGUGAUGGAGAAGGAAGUUAGAAUAAGAGAUAAGAAAGUAGAGGAGCUGAGAGAGAUACUGUGAAACAAUACCGUUGGCAUACCGAGCGGGAUUUUUCCUGGAAAUGAUGUUGCUUUCCAAAAGAUCAAGGUCUGAUGUGAACUUAAGAAGGGAACAGAUAAGGAAGUGGAUUUCAAUA